GACGGAGGAUGCAAGCGUUAUCCGGAAUGAUUGGGCGUAAAGCGUCCGCAGGUGGCAGUUCAAGUCUGCUGUCAAAGACCGGGGCUUAACUUCGGAAAGGCAGUGGAAACUGAACAGCUAGAGUAUGGUAGGGGCAGAGGGAAUUCCUGGUGUAGCGGUGAAAUGCGCAGAUAUCAGGAGGAACACCAGUGGCGAAGGCGGUGCUCUGGGCCGGAACUGACGCUGAUGAGCGAAAGCGUGGGGAGCAAACAGG
rnacentral:rRNA from 1 species